UACGUAGGGGGCGAGCGUUGUCCGGAUUUAUUGGGCGUAAAGAGCGUGUAGGCGGCUUGGUAGGUCUCGCGUCAAAACCUGCGGCUCAACCGCAGUUCGCGUGGGAAACCACCUAGCUAGAGUCCGGAAGAGGAGAGCGGAAUUCCCAGUGUAGCGGUGAAAUGCGCAGAUAUUGGGAAGAACACCAGUGGCGAAGGCGGUUCUCUGGGACGGUACUGACGCUGAGACGCGAAAGCGUGGGGAGCGAACAGG
rnacentral:rRNA from 1 species